UACGAAGGGAGCUAGCGUUGUUCGGAAUUACUGGGCGUAAAGGGCGCGUAGGCGGCCUGAUAAGUCAGAUGUGAAAGCCCCGGGCUUAACCUGGGAAUUGCAUUUGAUACUGUCAGGCUAGAGAUCGAGAGAGGAAAGUGGAAUUACGAGUGUAGAAGUGAAAUUCGUAGAUAUUCGUAGGAACACCCGUGGCGAAGGCGACUUUCUGGCUCGAUACUGACGCUAAAGCGCGAAAGCGUGGGGAGCAAACAGG
rnacentral:rRNA from 1 species